GGGAAUCUACCCUGAACUGCGGAAUAGCUCCGGGAAACUGGAAUUAAUACCGCAUGUGCCCUGGGGGGCAAAGAUUUAUCGGUUCAGGAUGAGCCCGCGUCCGAUUAGCUAGUUGGUGGGGUAAAGGCCUACCAAGGCGACGAUCGGUAGCUGGUCUAAGAGGAUGAUCAGCCACAUUGGGACUGAGACACGGCCCAAACUCCUACGGGAGGCAGCAGUGGGGAAUAUUGGACAAUGGGCGCAAGCCUGAUCCAGCCAUGCCGCGUGAGUGAUGAAGGCCCUAGGGUUGUAAAGCUCUUUCAGUGGGGACGAUAAUGACGGUACCCACAGAAGAAGCCCCGGCUAACUUCGUGCCAGCAGCCGCGGUAAUACGAAGGGGGCUAGCGUUGUUCGGAAUUACUGGGCGUAAAGCGCACGUAGGCGGACAUUUAAGUCAGGGGUGAAAUCCCGGGGCUCAACCCCGGAACUGCCUUUGAUACUGGGUGUCUUGAGUCCGGAAGAGGUGAGUGGAAUUGCGAGU
rnacentral:rRNA from 1 species